GCUGUCGUGGCAACGGCCUUGGCGAUAGCUCCGAUGAGAAAGAUCUGUGCUGAGGAGAUCUGUGAACAUGAACUGUACAGCCGGGUUGAGGACGAGGAUGAGCGAGGGCAGAGUGCCGUUCCACAGAGUUCGUACUCCCUCGUUGGAAAUGAUCUGUGAGAAAGCAUCUGAGAGGGAAACGCCAAACACAUCAGGCUUUCACAGCUGCACAAAAACAAAAAGUCUAAAGUCUUUACCAGGUCUGGACUUUCCUGGACCAGCAGCCAUCAGCUUCUUCAGCGUGUUGAAGGUGUAGAAGUAGACAAAGUUGGAGCAGCAAAGGCUGGAGAUGACCGGGAACCAGCCUCUGUACAGAGACUGACUGAGAGAAGUGGUGAAGGGCCAUUUGAAUUAGGAGAGUUCAGUGCGGGAACAUCAUUAUGCUACAACUCACCAGGAUGACGGGUGUGGUCUUUGCCUUUCGCUUGUCAUCCACUGAGGAAAAAAAGAGAAAAGAAAACGAGGUAAAUGUUCAAAUGUCAACUUCAAUUGUCAAGAGAUGUAAAAAGAUUAAAAUGACGUUUACUUUGCCUUAGAGUAACGUCUAUAGAAUCUGAAUAAAUAACACCGGUGAGGCCGUCAAGGUUGUUUCAGCCUGAGCUUUGAGACUUUCAUCAUUUAUAGCCCUAAGGCUACUCUAGAGAUCUCUACAGAACAAGAUAUACCACAUUUCAGGAGCAGAAUAUCAACAGGUGCUUCACAUUUAAACUAACCAACUGAAAUCCAUUCAGUUCAGAAAGAAAUACACAGACCGGUCAGUGUUAAACUGCUUCUUUGAGCUAGAUCUCACUCAUCUGUGUUGACAUCUUUAUUUUCUCUUUAGGGGAUCAAUAAAGGUACCUUAUCUCACCUUAUCUUCGCGAUUUCAAAUUCAGAUGCAGAACACUUUUAAUUAAGAAUGUGAACUAUCAAAUCCAAUCUGUAAUUAAUCAGAUGUAGAUCUGAUUUGAACAACGUGGCUGGUAAUUUCAGUGUUUAGCUUAUGUGUAUGGACUCAGGUACAAUUUAUGAUAUCUUGAUCUUCUUCUGGUGAGCUCAGGUCUUAUCUUAUCUUUAUCAUGGCACUAUACUUAAUAUGUGGACAACACCUAAAACUGUUUUGAUUUAUAAUGAACUGCCAUGGUAGUGAUUUCAUGUUAUGUUGAACGUAUAACCCUCUACGCCAUGUGUUUAGAGUAGCUGCUAUCAGGUGACCUCUGUCCGAGAUGAUAAGACUCACCCUGCAGUCUGCUUUUGGCCGUGUCCAAAGGAAAAAAGACGGUCAUGGCGGUCACACUCCCCUUAAGGACAAAGCAAAAAUGUUUGUGUUUACAUGGACAAAAAUAAUCCAAACUACUGACUUCAAAAAAAUAAUUCCUGUCAUGACUAUCGUGACCAAAGAUAAUUCAGAUUAUUAUGUGAUAGUUGUUAUAAUACACUUUCAAUUAGUUUUUAGAUUUUAUAACAUAAACAUGCUGCAUUCGCUAUGCGUACUUCAUUUGGUCAGUAUCUCUAAGCUUUCAGAAAAUAUGUGCACAUUGGUUUGAAAAGGUUUGCAAAAUCUCACAAAAAAGAUGACUAACAUUUGCCAUGUUCCAAACCGUAUUGCUGUUACAAAAACAUGUUGGUCAUGAUGUGCGAUACUAAUUUUUGGUGAAUAUUUUAAAGUGAAAACCAAAAAUCUUGUGGCAAAGACUUGUGGCAUUUGAAAAUAAAUCACUAGGACUGUAUGUUGUUGAGGUACACAUUUACAUUACAUAUACAUGUUUUAAAGUCAUUCACGUGAAAUAUUAUUGCUAAUGCCCUGUUUUACACUCAUAAGAAAGGAAAAACUACAAAGAUCUGGUUUCACUAGGUUUCAUAAUUGCUUAACCUGUCAAUUAUUUUCUCGAUUAAUCGAGAAAUCGCUUGGUCCAUAAAGA